AGUGAACGCUGGCGGUAGGCCUAACACAUGCAAGUCGAACGGCAGCACAGUAAGAGCUUGCUCUUACGGGUGGCGAGUGGCGGACGGGUGAGGAAUACAUCGGAAUCUACUUUUUCGUGGGGGAUAACGUAGGGAAACUUACGCUAAUACCGCAUACGACCUACGGGUGAAAGCAGGGGAUCUUCGGACCUUGCGCGAUUGAAUGAGCCGAUGUCGGAUUAACUAGUUGGCGGGGUAAAGGCCCACCAAGGCGACGAUCCGUAGCUGGUCUGAGAGGAUGAGCGGCCACACGGGAACUGAGACACGGUCCAGACUCCGACGGGAGGCAGCAGUAGGGAAGCGUCCGAAAUGGGCGAAAGCGUGACGGAGCAACGCCGCGUGAGUGAUGAAGGGCUUCGGAUCGUAAAACUCGGUUAUUAGGGAAGAACAAAGGUGUAAGUAACUAUGCACGUCUUGACGGUACCGAAUCAGAAAGCCACGGCUAACUACGUG
rnacentral:rRNA from 1 species